rnacentral:tRNA from 3 species
GCCGAUAUAGCUCAGCUGGUAGAGCAACGCAUUCGUAAUGCGUAGGUCUGCGGUUCAAGUCCGCAUAUCGGCU